rnacentral:rRNA from 1 species
UACGGAGGGGGCAAGCGUUGUUCGGAAUUACUGGGCGUAAAGGGCGCGUAGGCGGCCUGCUAAGUCGAACGUGAAAUCCCCGGGCUCAACCCGGGAACUGCGUCCGAUACUGGCAGGCUUGAAUCCGGGAGAGGGAUGCGGAAUUCCAGGUGUAGCGGUGAAAUGCGUAGAUAUCUGGAGGAACACCGGUGGCGAAGGCGGCAUCCUGGACCGGCAUUGACGCUGAGGCGCGAAAGCCAGGGGAGCAAACGGG